rnacentral:rRNA from 1 species
AAUUCCUAGUGUAGCGGUGAAAUGCGUAGAUAUUAGGAGGAACACCAGUGGCGAAAGCGGCUUUCUGGACGACAACUGACGCUGAGGCGCGAAAGCCAGGGGAGCAAACGGGAUUAGAUACCCCGGUAGUCCUGGCCGUAAACGAUGGAUACUAGGUGUAGGAGGUAUCGACCCCUUCUGUGCCGGAGUUAACGCAAUAAGUAUCCCGCCUGGGGAGUACGGCCGCAAGGCUGAAACUCAAAGGAAUUGACGGGGGCCCGCACAAGCGGUGGAGUAUGUGGUUUAAUUCGAAGCAACGCGAAGAACCUUACCAGGCCUUGACAUCCCUUGCAGAGGUAUAGAGAUAUAUCCGAGGUUAUCAAGGAGACAGGUGGUGCAUGGUUGUCGUCAGCUCGUGUCGUGAGAUGUUGGGUUAAGUCCCGCAACGAGCGCAACCCUUGUGAUAUGUUACUAACAUUGAGUUGAGGACUCAUAUCAGACUGCCGGUGAUAAACCGGAGGAAGGUGGGGAUGACGUCAAAUCAUCAUGCCCCUUAUGGCCUGGGCUACACACGUACUACAAUGGCGUCUACAAAGAGCGGCAAGCCUGUGAAGGCAAGCGAAUCUCAUAAAGGACGUCUCAGUUCGGAUUGAAGUCUGCAACCCGACUUCAUGAAGCUGGAAUCGCUAGUAAUCGCGAAUCAGCAUGUCGCGGUGAAUACGUUCUCGGGCCUUGUACACACCGCCCGUCAAACCAUGGGAGUUGGUAAUGCCCGAAGCCGGUGGCAUAACCCUUCGGGGAGUGAGCCGUCGAAGGCAGGACCGAUGACUGGGGUUAAGUCGUAACAAGGUAUCCCUACGGGAACGUGGGGAUG